CAUUUACUUCUUAACAUUUAAAAAAAAAGCUGUAACUGUAGAUUCCUGUUUAUGAGAUUUCAAGACUUCUCCAAACUGGAACUCUCAAAACGUUACAUUAUAAAUUAUUUGGAAUUUUCUCUUUGUAGAAUCAAGCAUGUCAAGCAUUCCGUAUGUCAUAUGAUUCAGGCAUCUAGUAAAGCCUUCCCUUCUUGUGCUUAGUUGUAAAAAGAUGAAGACAUUUGCUGGGUUUCCCUGUUGCUUUAAUCAGUGGGCAUCCGACAGGUGCUUUCAUUUUCCUGGCCUUGAAAUCUUUCUGGAUGGGAUGUGGGAGAAAAAAAUUGCAAAUGCCUUUAGUUCACAAAUAAAUCUUUGCUCCCUUUCUUCUCUGUUUCUUUUUGGAUUCUUAGCACACUGCCUUCCUAUUCCCCUUCAACACACACUCACAUGUACAUGUGCACCUCCAAAGUUCUUGUUCUUUUUCUCCUAUCCAGGGUGGGAAGAAGCUCUCAACAUGAGCAAGCUGAUUUGCAGCCACCAUCCCUGCCAUGGGUGUGGGCACGACCUGACUGUCCUCAGUUUCUAUAGCACACAGAUAUUCUAAGAAGAGUGGAAUGGCACAGUUCUUGUGCAAAUGUCCAGAAGGCAUUGCGUGUGUGAAGAUGACACCAUGAGAAGUGGCGAGGAACCACUGUACCUCUGUGCAUGGAGUUUGUGGUAUCCUCAUCCACAGUGGAUCUGCAGAUUCAUUCCUGUUCCUGAGCGGGGCUACUGUCUUACCAUGUGAUCUGUGUGCAUGGGUUGGUGUUGUUAUUCCUGCUCUACCCAGGAGGGUCCCGAUGAGGCUGGGAGACUCUGCCUGAGGGCGUGAGAUUGCCCAGGCUGGGGGAAGCUAGCUGCUAUGAUGUGAAUUAGCUCCUGAAGAAGCAAACACGAGUGAGUUUGAAAACAGCUCUUCUGAGGCCCACCAAAAGCCAG